CAGCAGCCGCGGUAAUACGAAGGGGGCUAGCGUUGUUCGGAUUUACUGGGCGUAAAGGGCGCGUAGGCGGACUGAUAAGUCAGGGGUGAAAUCCCAAGGCUCAACCUUGGAACUGCCUUUGAUACUGUUUGUCUUGAGUUCGAGAGAGGUAAGUGGAACUGCGAGUGUAGAGGUGAGAUUCGUAGAUAUUCGCAAGAACACCAGUGGCGAAGGCGGCUUACUGGCUCGAAACUGACGCUGAGGCGCGAAAGCGUGGGGAGCAAACAGGAUUAGAUACCCGUGUAGUCCCUGUCUCUUAUAC
rnacentral:rRNA from 1 species